rnacentral:rRNA from 1 species
UGGUGGAGUGAUUUGUCUGGUUAAUUCCGUUAACGAGCGAGACCGCGACUUACUAAAUAGCCACGCUAAUAGUCUGUAUGAGUGAAGCUGCGAUGGCGUGCGUGGUCUAACGACCUGCUCCCAGCGCAAGGGAUCUUUGACUUAUUGGUGGAUGUGCUUCUUAGAAGGACUGCCUAGGCUUAACUAGGAGGAAGUUCGCGGCGAUAACA